rnacentral:pre_miRNA from 1 species
ACUGCUGAGUCAUCUCUCCAGCCCUCAACUUUUUUUUUUAAUUUAAAAAUUCUCACUUAUGGCUGGAGAGAUGGCUCAGCAGU